CACACGACUCUCGGCAACGGAUAUCUCGGCUCUCGCAUCGAUGAAGAACGUAGCGAAAUGCGAUACCUGGUGUGAAUUGCAAAAUCCCGCGAACCAUCGAGUCUUUGAACGCAAGUUGCGCCCAAGGCCACCCGGCUGAGGGCACGCUUGCCUGGGCGUCACGC
rnacentral:rRNA from 1 species